rnacentral:misc_RNA from 1 species
UCUCCGUUGGUGAACCAGCGGAGGGAUCAUUACAGGACUCGCAAGACUCCUUCACCCUGUGAACCUCACUACAAGCACGUUGCUUCGGCGGGUGUCCCGGCGGGGGUUUUCCCUCGCCGGGGCGCACAGCCCGCCGGCAGCCUACUAUACUCUGUCUCUUUGCGUUGGCAUCUCGAGAAAAAACAAACAAGUCAAAACUUUCAACAACGGAUCUCUUGGUUCUG